UAUAAGUGUGGCUUCAAGCUCUCCAAUUAUACAAAAAAAAAACAAUCCACAUAUAUUAUAUAGUUUGUCAUGGCGAGGCGUAUGCGUAAAUCCAAAGGGUGUGAUUGCUGCACAGCUUGGUGUAUCAUCUUAACCAUUCUAAUCCUCGUCUUCGUCAUUGCAUUACUCUUGGUAUUGGAGGUAUACAAACCGAAAAUACCUAUAAAGCAGAUCUGAUCAGCCAUGAGACACCUUACUAGGCAUCAUAUAUAUCCUUGCCGUUUGAUGUUCAGCUCGGUUCCACACUAACUAGUCUCCAUAUUCUGCUCGAGGCUUAAGCAUGAGAUAUGUUAUUGAUCUUCUCUCAGGUACAUUGUCCGCUUAAGGUUCCUUGAUUCCACCGACUUACUCUUCAUAUCGAUAAGUUUGUUUCAGAUAUGAGUGACAUUAUUGCAAGAUCUAUUUGGAGGAAAGAUUGUGUUAGAAACAAAGACAAAAGCUCCCAGGGGAGUUCAAAGCUGUUGUGAAUCUUCAAGGCACACACUUUAGUUGCUAUAUCGGAUUGUAAAAUCAAUAUGGACUUCCCUUCUAUCAAAGUGUAGAACCAAGAAUGUAGAAUGAGUGCUAAUUCGUAGAACUGAAGUCGUCUUUUUGGUAAACAUAUAGGGAAAAGAAUAGAUUUUUAUGUCAGCUCCAUUGUAUAUUUCUCAUUCUCUCUCGAUCCUAAGUUCAUUCUGAAUCUUCAAUUGAAAUUUCUCAGAGACUAGAGAAGCUACAAAGAUCAUUACCAGAAAGAGGGAAAGAACAAAAG
rnacentral:lncRNA from 1 species